UGGGGAAUAUUGGACAAUGGGGGCAACCCUGAUCCAGCAAUGCCGCGUGUGUGAAGAAGGUCUUCGGAUUGUAAAGCACUUUCGACGGGGACGAUGAUGACGGUACCCGUAGAAGAAGCCCCGGCUAACUUCGUGCCAGCAGCCGCGGUAAUACGAAGGGGGCUAGCGUUGCUCGGAAUGACUGGGCGUAAAGGGCGUGUAGGCGGUUUACACAGUCAGAUGUGAAAUCCCCGGGCUUAACCUGGGAGCUGCAUUUGAUACGUGUAGACUAGAGUGUGAGAGAGGGUUGUGGAAUUCCCAGUGUAGAGGUGAAAUUCGUAGAUAUUGGGAAGAACACCGGUGGCGAAGGCGGCAACCUGGCUCAUGACUGACGCUGAGGCGCGAAAGCGUGGGGAGCAAACAGGAUUAGAUACCCUGGUAGUCCACGCUGUAAACGAUGUGUGCUAGAUGUUGGGUAACUUUGUUAUUCAGUGUCGCAGUUAACGCGUUAAGCACACCGCC
rnacentral:rRNA from 1 species